AACUUUAGCAAAUUACCCAAUUUUACAUCGCUUCAUUUGAUAUAAGAGCAAAGAUACCUAGACUUUAUGUAUCAGUCAAUCGUAAAUUCGCAACGUUUGUAUACCCUCCUCAAUCAAUAUGAAGAACGUACUCGUAAUUUCCGCUUUCUUGAUGAUGGUGAUUCUCACUGCCCAUUUGAGCAGCGUGGAAGCGGGAGGAUUCAGUUUGGGCUGCACCAUAUCCUGUGGAAUAUGGAACGCUUGCCGUGGAAAGUCCGCUCUUUCUGGAAGUCUCACGCAAUGUGGACCAGAACCUUCAGGCUGUCGCUGUACUUCUUUUUAUUGGGAGUAAAGCUAAACUAGUAUUUUUCAAUUGAUUACUUAUUUAUAAAUUUGUGCUAUAUUUAUCUAUUAAUAAACAUUUUUUUAAUACA